rnacentral:rRNA from 1 species
AGAAAUCAGUUCAGCACUAAGUCACUUUGUCUAUAUGGCAAAUGUGAGAUGCAGUGUAUGGAACAUCAAUAUUCUAGUAUGAGAAAUUAACGAUUUAAGUCCUUCUUAAAUGAGGCCAUUUACCCAUAGAGGGUGCCAGGCCCGUAUAACGUUAAUGAUUAUUAGAUGGUGUUUCCAAAGAGUCGUGUUGCUUGAUAGUGCAGCACUAAGUGGGUGGUAAACUCCAUCUAAAACUAAAUAUAACCAUGAGACCGAUAGUAAACAAGUACCGUGAGGGAAAGUUGAAAAGAACUCUGAAUAGAGAGUUAAAUAGUACGUGAAACUGCUUAGAGGUUAAGCCCGAUGAACCUGAAUAUCCGUUAUGGAAAAUUCAUCAUUAGAAUUGUAAUAUUUAAUUAAUAUUAUAAUAAUAGUGUGCAUUUUUUCCAUAUAAGGACAUUGUAAUCUAUUAAUAUACUUAAUUUAUCAAAAAGUUGUGAACUAAUGCUUAUUUAAAUUAUAGUGCUUGCAUUAUAACAUAAAAUAAAUUGUCAUAAAUUUGAUAAAGUAUUGAUAGAUUUAUAUGAAUACUGUGCGUUAAU